rnacentral:rRNA from 1 species
GAUGAACGCUGGCGGCGUGCUUAACACAUGCAAGUCGAACGAUGAAGGAGGAGCUUGCUCCUCUGGAUUAGUGGCGAACGGGUGAGUAACACGUGAGCAAUCUGCCCCUGACUCUGGGAUAAGCGUUGGAAACGACGUCUAAUACCGGAUACGAGCCGAGCAGGCAUCUGCAUCGGUUGGAAAGAACUUCGGUCAGGGAUGAGCUCGCGGCCUAUCAGCUAGUUGGUGAGGUAAUGGCUCACCAAGGCGACGACGGGUAGCCGGCCUGAGAGGGUGGCCGGCCACACGGGGACUGAGACACGGCCCAGACUCCUACGGGAGGCAGCAGUGGGGAAUAUUGCACAAUGGGCGCAAGCCUGAUGCAGCAACGCCGCGUGAGGGACGACGGCCUUCGGGUUGUAAACCUCUUUUAGCAGGGAAGAAGCGAGAGUGACGGUACCUGCAGAAAAAGCACCGGCUAACUACGUGCCAGCAGCCGCCGUAA